GCCUCUGUCUUACUCCUCUGUAAUUUUUCUUCACUCUUUUUCGUGUCCCCUUCUUUUCUUCUUGAUUUGGCGGGAAAAAAUUGCAUCCUAGACAUCCUUUGAUCUUGCAAACAUUGCACAUGUCAAGAUCCGACGGUGGCAGUAUUGGGUUACAAAAACCAGCUGUAACAGUAGCGGAAGAACUAGCAGCGAACUGUGAUGAAGUAGCAACAGUGGUAGAGAACUGAAGGCGAAACAACUCCUGCGAGAAAUCCGUUAAUGCCGCUGUACUGUUGGUGGUGACGCAACCGGAGACAACAUUUUUCAGGGCUGUGACCAUGACGGCGAAUUCUUGCUCUUGGGUAAGGCGAGGUGGUGAAAGUGGAGACUGGGAAAAGUCGUUCUCCGGAGAUCCAGUGAGUUUGCGCUUUGAUGGCUUGUGCAUGCUUGAUUUGGGUGAUGUUGAGAGAGAAAUCUGAAAUCUGUU
rnacentral:misc_RNA from 1 species